GACGUAGGGCGCGAGCGUUGUCCGGAUUUAUUGGGCGUAAAGAGCUCGUAGGCGGCUUGUCGCGUCGUCUGUGAAAUCCCGUGGCUCAACUGCGGGUCUGCAGUCGAUACGGGCAGGCUAGAGUUCGGUAGGGGAGACUGGAAUUCCUGGUGUAGCGGUGAAAUGCGCAGAUAUCAGGAGGAACACCGGUGGCGAAGGCGGGUCUCUGGGCCGAUACUGACGCUGAGGAGCGAAGGCUAGGGGAGCGAACGGG
rnacentral:rRNA from 1 species